rnacentral:rRNA from 1 species
GACGAACGCUGGCGGCGUGCUUAACACAUGCAAGUCGAACGGAAAGGCCCUGCUUUUGUGGGGUGCUCGAGUGGCGAACGGGUGAGUAACACGUGAGUAACCUGCCCUUGACUUUGGGAUAACUUCAGGAAACUGGGGCUAAUACCGGAUAGGAGCUCCUGCUGCAUGGUGGGGGUUGGAAAGUUUCGGCGGUUGGGGAUGGACUCGCGGCUUAUCAGCUUGUUGGUGGGGUAGUGGCUUACCAAGGCUUUGACGGGUAGCCGGCCUGAGAGGGUGACCGGCCACAUUGGGACUGAGAUACGGCCCAGACUCCUACGGGAGGCAGCAGUGGGGAAUAUUGCACAAUGGGCGGAAGCCUGAUGCAGCAACGCCGCGUGCGGGAUGACGGCCUUCGGGUUGUAAACCGCUUUCGCCUGUGACGAAGCGUGAGUGACGGUAAUGGGUAAAGAAGCACCGGCUAACUACGUGCCAGCAGCCGCGGUGAUACGUAGGGUGCGAGCGUUGUCCGGAUUUAUUGGGCGUAAAGGGCUCGUAGGUGGUUGAUCGCGUCGGAAGUGUAAUCUUGGGGCUUAACCCUGAGCGUGCUUUCGAUACGGGUUGACUUGAGGAAGGUAGGGGAGAAUGGAAUUCCUGGUGGAGCGGUGGAAUGCGCAGAUAUCAGGAGGAACACCAGUGGCGAAGGCGGUUCUCUGGGCCUUUCCUGACGCUGAGGAGCGAAAGCGUGGGGAGCGAACAGGCUUAGAUACCCUGGUAGUCCACGCUGUAAACGGUGGGUACUAGGUGUGGGGUCCAUUCCACGGGUUCCGUGCCGUAGCUAACGCUUUAAGUACCCCGCCUGGGGAGUACGGCCGCAAGGCUAAAACUCAAAGGAAUCGACGGGGCCCCGCACAAGCGGCGGAGCAUGCGGAUUAAUUCGAUGCAACGCGUAGAACCUUACCUGGGUUUGACAUGGAUCGGGAGUGCUCAGAGAUGGGUGUGCCUCUUUUGGGGUCGGUUCACAGGUGGUGCAUGGCUGUCGUCAGCUCGUGUCGUGAGAUGUUGGGUUGAGUCCCGCAACGAGCGCAACCCUUGUUCACUGUUGCCAGCACGUUAUGGUGGGGACUCAGUGGAGACCGCCGGGGUCAACUCGGAGGAAGGUGGGGAUGACGUCAAGUCAUCAUGCCCCUUAUGUCCAGGGCUUCACGCAUGCUACAAUGGCUGGUACAGAGAGUGGCGAGCCUGUGAGGGUGAGCGAAUCUCGGAAAGCCGGUCUCAGUUCGGAUUGGGGUCUGCAACUCGACCUCAUGAAGCCGGAGUCGCUAGUAAUCGCAGAUCAGCAACGCUGCGGUGAAUACGUUCCCGGG